rnacentral:rRNA from 1 species
CCUACGGGCGGCAGCAGUGAAGAAUAUUGGUCAAUGGGAGAGAUCCUGAACCAGCCAAGCCGCGUGAGGGAAGACGGCCCUAUGGGUUGUAAACCUCUUUUGUCGGAGAACAAAACCCGGGACGUGUCCCGGACUGCGUGUAUCCGAAGAAAAAGCAUCGGCUAACUCCGUGCCAGCAGCCGCGGUAAUACGGAGGAUGCGAGCGUUAUCCGGAUUUAUUGGGUUUAAAGGGUGCGUAGGCGGUCCGUUAAGUCAGCGGGAAAAUUGCGGGGCUCAACCCAGGCGAGCCGUUGAAACUGGCAGACUUGAGUUGGCGAGAAGUACGCGGAAUGCGCGGUGUAGCGGUGAAAUGCAUAGAUAUCGCGCAGAACUCCGAUUGCGAAGGCAGCGUACCGGCGCCAGACUGACGCUGAGGCACGAAAGCGUGGGGAUCGAACAGGAUUAGAUACCCCAGUAGUC